UUCUACUAGGGUACGUAAGAUUUAACCAUCGCCUCAUCACUUCUAUAAAUACCGACGCCGAUCAAGUCUCGGAUUGCACGUUUCUUUCUUCAUCUUGUUACACUUUCUGUUUUUGUGUUAACAUUAUCCCAUUACCAGUGCAAUAAUCUCCAUCGGAACUGAAUUUAUUGGCCUUUUCCCUUCCAACUCGGCUUCAUAAAACAGUAAGUUUGUUGCAGGAGCAGGAAACAAAGCACUUUCUUCUCGUCGGGAGAAACUCACUGACGGAUUUUAAUUUCUUCAUGUUUAAAGAAAUUAGUCGUCUUCUGGCUUAUACAUGAACAACUUCAUCGUGCAUUCUUGCUUUGUUGCGUUUCACAUCGAAUGUUGAGAAAUUAUACGGGUUCAGCUUUGCGGCAAUCAUAUUUUACCGAUAUUUCCUCUUUCCUCGUGAAUUUCUGGUUCGCAUGUACACACUGGUAUUUCAUUUUUAUUGUUCAUGCACUUGGUCCUUCAGUAAGUAUUAAUCUUGAACUUGGAGCCAUGAUUGGUGGUAUUAGUAUAACCGGCAGAUUUGCUUUGUCUGCCUUACCAUACUUCUCGUCACUGUGUACUACGUGCAAAAUUUAAACAGUAAUUUAUCUGCUCUCGUUUUGCUUUAUAUGUUUACCGGGUUUCUUCACCAUUACACCGUACAAGUUGAGUUGGAAGCUCUCUUUUUUUCUUUUUUUUUAAAGUCCUGUCACGACCUCACUAGGGGCCAUGACGGGUAUCCGGAGCUAACCACCGAGCACCACUCAUACUAUUACUCAUUGCACUCAUCCUACGUUUAUUCAUUAUUCUCUUACUCAUAAUCAUAGGAAAACCAUUUUCAUUUUGAAAUAUAUUCACCUUUAUAUACAUAAGCCCUUCGGCUAUCAAAAUAAUAUACAUACCAUAAGGACAUCGUGAGACCAUACUACCCACACAUACGUAUCUACGAGCCUCUACUAGAGUACUAGACAUAUGGACGUGACAGGACCCCGUCAUGCCCAAAAAUAUAUACACAAAUAAUAGGUAAUGGCACCUUCGGAACAAUAGAGUGCUCUCAAAGUCUGCUGAUAGCUCCUAUGAAUCUGGAUCGCCUCCCUGUCUACCUGUGGGCAUGAGCACAGCGUCCAAAGAAAAGGAUGUCAGUACGAAUAUUGUACUGAGUAUGUUAGGCAUAAACAAUAACAAUACAUCAAUAAAACAGGGGGAUAUCAAAUGAAGAACAAUCUGUAACUGACUGUUAGUUUUAAUAGAAAUAAUGCAUGCUGACUUACUUCAUAAACAUCAUCAUCAUAUCAUGUAUGCAUAUAUAUAUGUAUAAGCUGCCCGACCAUAUAGGUACAGUGUGAUCAUCAUUAGCCCGCGUCCGGGGUAACCAUCUCAUGCUGCCCACUAGUGGUGUCUGCCCAUGCCAUCUAGACAUGAUGUAUACGCUGCGCACCUUAGCGGUGUCUGCCCGGCCAUAUAGGCGUGGUGUAAUGUCAUCAUCAUGUACUCAUCAUAAUGCAUGCAUAGAAACUCAAAGACAACUAUACUUUAUCGGGGUGACAUAAGGUUGUGAACCCCCGAUUCCGUUAUGGAGCAUUCAUAAGCAUUAUGCCUCACCUUGAAGGAAUUAGUAUAUAAUGUGAGUGUAUACAAUGAAUAACAUCAAUGGAUCAUAGUUAGUGUCACGACCUAAUCGGAGGGCCGCAACGGGCACCCGGUGCUAGCCCACCCGGGCACCUCUUAACAUACCUUUACAUUCACAUCUAGGUGAGCCACAUAUUAAAUCAUACAUUUCUAUUCAUCAAUCAUACUAGUCCCAUUGGACAGCAAUACCUUUAUAUCAUCAUUGGCAUCUAUGCCCAUAUCAAUGUACAUAAGCCGACUAGGCUAACAAAAUAUAGGCCGGCAAGGCCAAACACAUCUAACCAUAUACACAUGUCUACGAGCCUCUAAGGAGAGUAUGUCAUAUCAUAUACGCGGGACAGGACCCCGCUAUGCCCAUAAAUAAGCACACAAAAGAAUCAAUACCAAAAAGCUAUAACUCCGAAUGAGGUGGAGCUCCACUAUGUAGUCCCUGAGAAAUGUAGCUAUGGGCCAAGUCUCUCCCUGGGCACUUACGGGCAUGACGCAGCGUCCACAAACAAAAGACGUCAGUACGAAGAAUGUACUGAGUAUGUAAAGCAUGAUUAAUAUAAACAUAGAAGCAUAAUACACAACAUAAGAAAUGGCAUAAGAUGGGAGAUAAUCGUAUCAUCGUCAUAAGCACUUACUUGCUUCUCAUGGGGACUUUCCAUUUCUAACACGUAUUUGUGUACAUACAUCCAUAUCCGUAUCCGUACUCAUUUACAUUACGUCCAUAAUCGUAUUCAUAUACAUAGUCUUAUUCAUAUUCGUAUUCAUACUCAUAUCUAUAUCAUAUACAUAACCAUAUCAUAUACAUAACAUUUACAUAGCAUGCCCGACCAUGAAGGUUCGGUGUUUCACGUACCCGACCAUGGCUAGGCUCGGUUAUCAUACAUACUUGGCCAACCAAAGCUCAAGGUUACACAUACCUAGCCCUACCAAGGCUUCAGGGUUAUCCGUACCCAACUGCAGCGGUGCGCACGCGUUACAUAAAUAUAUAUACAUAUUCUACCCGGCCUUAUAAGCUUGGGGUUCCAUAAUAGUCAUACAUAGAUACAUAUACAUAAUAGCUCAUAAGCAUCUUUACCAUUAUCAUCGUCGUCAUUAUCGUUAUCACCAUUCUCGUCGUCAUCAUUAUCAUUAUCACUAUCAUCGUCGUUCAUUACAUCUAUCCUUAUAGGAUUACUCAUCAUAUGAGGAACUUAGUACAAUCGUAACAUAUCGAGAAUCAUAAGCUUAGUAGCUUUUGAAGAUAGAGUCAUUCGGAGGACAUCAUAGACUUAUAGAAGAUUUAGAUGAUUGGCCAAAGAACCAUGCCUUAUGAAAGAAGGGUUAGCCUUACAUACCUUUCCGUUCAACUAUUCUACAGUUGCACGUUCUCCUUCAACGCUCCCGUUUCUACCUUCAUUAAAGUUAUACUAUCAUUAGAAAUCGAUAGCUAGCAUACACGACUAAAACUAGAGAAAAUCAGACAGCAUCUCCUUUAUUUAUACGACAUUCCUCCAUAUCAUAAAUCAACUCCCAAACGUCAAUAAUACAUUCACAAUACCAUAACAAUAGUCUCUAUUCAUCCACAUUAUCCAUAUCUCUCAAUUCACUUCCAACUACCCAUACCCAUGGUCAUAACACACAUUUACAUUCAUUCAUAUACAAUGUCUACCCCAUGUUCUUAACAUCAUUUAUAACAUAUCCAUAUCACAACACAUCAAGAAUCAUGACUCAAUUCAAGCUAUUACUCAAAAUGACACUAUUUCCACAUUCAUGACCCAUUCAUGACCUUAAACUACAUGGAAAUACCAUAAAUCUUACCUUAGAUGUUGUAGGAACAAGCUUUGGAUGGAAAUACUUCACUUGAGCCAAAACCCUAGUUCAUCUCCAAUGAUAUUUCUUGACUUGGAUGAUCUUUAAUGGGUUUCUUACACUUGAUUCACUUAGUUUAUGUUGUUGAUCACUAAUAUCUCUUGAAUUCUUGUGGAAGAAAUGUAGAUAGAUGUUUUAGAGAGAAGGGGUGUGAAAGGAAAUGAAAUGAAAUAAGACUUGAUCCCUCAUUUAAUACACCAAAAUUCUGUCCCGACCAGUUCUACGGAACAACAUACGGUCCGUAUAAAUUAUACUGACCUUAUGUCUGGCCGUAGAUUUGGUCCAGAGAAUGGUGACAAUCUGGGCUGAUUGUAUGGUCCAACAUACGGUCUGUAUGUUUUAUACGGCCAGUAUGUUUGGCCGUAUAAUCCCAGUGUUCCGAAGUUCGUUCUCGUCGACUCGUUUGAUCUCCAAUCCUUAUGGAACCUUUUUAGCACUUGUUUAUUACCUCAUUAACAAUCUAAGGGACAUUAUAACUCUUCUCCAAAUCAUUAUUAGAUCCUCGUUAACUCGUUACUCGUAAUUCCUUUUCGAUACCUAUCGUAUGCCUUGCCUUCUCUUGGCAAACUUUCUUCCCCUACCUCGAACAUCUUUGAAAUAUUAACUAGGGUCAUCGAAGGUUAUUUCUUACUUAUUGAAAUACCGUAUACACGUGCUCUUCACUAGUCUAUUCAAUUGUGCAUCAACAAAAAAAUUUCCGAGGUGUAACAAUUAGAAUCAUUAGCUUGAGGAUCUUUAGACUUAACUCAUUAUCAUCGCUAUCAUGCUUAUAACAUAUCUCAUUUCUCGACCGUUAGAGUUCCAGAUUGGCGACUGGGUAUUUCUGAAGGUGUCGCCUAUGAAGGGUGUUAUGAGAUUCGGUAAAAAGGGUAAGUUGAGCCCGCGAUAUAUCGGGCCAUAUCAGAUUGUUCGAAAGAUAGGCGAGGUUGCCUAUGAUCUAGACUUACCAUCCGAUUUGGAGGCCGUACACCCGGUAUUUCAUGUGUCUAUGCUGCGAAAAUGUAUUGGUGAUCCUUCCAGGGUAUUCCCAGUGGACGAUAUUCAGGUAACGGAGCACUUGUCUUAUGAGGAGCAGCCUAUAACCAUUUUGGACCGACAGGUACGGAGACUACGCACUAAGGAAGUGCCUUCUGUUAAAGUCCUGUGGCGCAACAGCAAUCGGGAGGAAAUGACCUGGGAGUCGGAGGAAGAGAUGAAGAAGAAAUAUCCUCAUUUAUUUCCUGCGGCCACAGUUGUAGCAAGUGCAAGACGCUCUUCAACGUGAUACAAUUUAUUUGGCGAAAGAAUCACAUUUGCGACAAGUCGGAGUUUCAAGAAAAGAUUUUGAGCGAAACGGGACUUGAGUUUUGGGCGAGCGUAAGACGUACAUAAGGUACAGACGCCGGUGAUCCACCACUGUAGGCUCCACUUCUGCUAUUUCGGAGUACUCCCUUUGAUUCGGAGUCCACUUUUGAUAUAUAUAUAUAUCUUUUGCCAUGUAUAUAUUUCUGUAUAUCUGACUAUUUGGGUACGGCGGGGCCCUGUCCCGUCAUAUGGUUCUGUCGGUCAGUUUAGAGGUCUGUGGACAUGUCUGUGGGUUAUGGUCUUUCUGUUCGGAUAUGUGUAUAUGUUGUUUGAGCGAUCCCAUACGCCGAGGCGGCCGGUCCGCAUA